GCACUCACUUCGGCAGCACAUAUACUUAAAUUGAAAUGAUACAGAGAAGAUAGCAUGGCCCCUGCACAUAUAUAUCAAUACAUAUCUGUCUCCAUCUUGGU
ensembl:snRNA U6 U6 spliceosomal RNA